rnacentral:rRNA from 1 species
AUGAAGAUGGUGCUUAAGGUGCCGAUGGUCUGCAAGAAGUGCAAAUCUUGCGUUCUUACGAUUGUGUCCAAGGUCAAAGGGGUCAAGUCGAUGGCAUACGACGAGGAGAAGAGCACGCUGACGGUGGUGGGGGAUGUGGACGUGGUGGUGGUCGUGGACGCGCUGCGCAAGGGGAAGCACCCGGCGACGGUGGUGACGGUGGGCGACGAGAAGAAGGAGGCGGAGGAGAAGAAGAAGAAGGACGAAGAGGAGAAGAAGAAGAAGGAGAAGGAGGCCGAGGAGAAGAAGAAAAAGGAAUGCCUGGAGCUGAUGCAGAAGCACUGCCCCAAGGCUUGCCUGCCGCCACCCUACUGCCCGCCGCCACCCCACUGCCCGCCGCAAACCUACAGCUGCUACGUCGACGACCACCCCGGCCCCUGCACCAUCGUCUGA